rnacentral:rRNA from 1 species
GUCGGGAGUCUUGCACAAUGGGGGAAACCCUGAUGCAGCGACGUCGCGUGUGGGAUGAAGUAUUUCGGUAUGUAAACCACUUUUGCGGGGGGCGAAAAAAAUGACGGUACCCCGCGAAUAAGCCCCGGCUAACUACGUGCCAGCAGCCGCGGUAAUACGUAGGGGGCGAGCGUUGCUCGGAUUGACUGGGCGUAAAGCGCGCGUAGGCGGUCCAUUAAGUGUGCGGUGAAAUUCGGAGGCUCAACCUCCGUCCCGCCGCGCAAACUGAUGGUCUUGAGAUUGGGAGGGGGAUGCGGAAUUCCUGGUGUAGCGGUGAAAUGCAUUGAUAUCAGGAGGAACACCGGCGGCGAAAGCGGCAUCCUGGCUUAUAUCUGACGCUGAGGCGCGAAAGCGUGGGUAGCAAACGGGAUUAGAAACCCGUGUAGUCC